AGAUCAUUUUGGGGACAGUUUCUAAGCAAUCCCUUAUAGCGCUUUCAUGCCUCGUAUAAAGACUCUCCCACGUUUUGCUCAAAUUUUGCAAUGACAUUCUUUAAUUU